UGGUAAUUAGUUUAAAUUAGUUUAAUAAAAUUAAUGAUUUCGACUCAUUAGAUUAUGAUAAUAAUCAUAAUUACCAA
rnacentral:tRNA from 1 species